CUGCAUGGCUGUCGUCAGCUCGUGUCGUGAGAUGUUGGGUUAAGUCCCGCAACGAGCGCAACCCUUGUCAUUAGUUGCUACAUUAAGUUGGGCACUCUAAUGAGACUGCCGGUGACAAACCGGAGGAAGGUGGGGAUGACGUCAAGUCCUCAUGGCCCUUAUGCGUAGGGCUUCACACGUCAUACAAUGGUCGGUACAGAGGGUCGCCAACCCGCGAGGGGGAGCCAAUCUCAGAAAGCCGAUCGUAGUCCGGAUCGCAGUCUGCAACUCGACUGCGUGAAGUCGGAAUCGCUAGUAAUCGCGGAUCAGCAUGUCGCGGUGAAUACGUUCCCGGGCCUUGUACACACCGCCCGUCACACCAUGGGAGCGGGUUUUACCAGAAGUAGCUAGGCUAACCGCAAGGAGGCCGGUUACCACGGUAGGAUUCGUGACUGGGGU
rnacentral:rRNA from 1 species